rnacentral:rRNA from 1 species
UACGAAGGGGGCUAGCGUUGCUCGGAAUCACUGGGCGUAAAGGGCGCGUAGGCGGCCAUUCAAGUCGGGGGGUGAAAGCCUGUGGCUCAACCACAGAAUUGCCUUCGAUACUGUUUGGCUUGAGUUUGGUAGAGGUUGGUGGAACUGCGAGUGUAGAGGUGAAAUUCGAUAGAUAUUCGCAAGAACACCAGUGGCGAAGGCGGCCAACUGGACCAACACUGACGCUGAGGCGGCGAAAAGCGUGGGGAGCAAACAGGG